GUUAGAGUGGCAGAGCAGUAAAUGCAAAAGACCUAAGCCCUUUUCACAGAGGUUCAACUCCUCUCUCUAAUU
rnacentral:tRNA from 1 species